rnacentral:rRNA from 1 species
CCGCUCAAAGAUGGUCCUGCGUCCCAUUAGCUAGUUGGUGGGGUAACGGCCUACCAAGGCGACGAUGGGUAGCCGAUCUGAGAGGAUGACCGGCCACACUGGGACUGAGAUACGGCCCAG